UACGAAGGGGGCUAGCGUUGCUCGGAUUGACUGGGCGUAAAGGGCGCGUAGGCGGUUUGCCCAGUCAGACGUGAAAUUCCUGGGCUCAACCUGGGGGCUGCGUUUGAUACGUGCAGGCUUGAGUUCGGAAGAGGGUCGUGGAAUUCCCAGUGUAGAGGUGAAAUUCGUAGAUAUUGGGAAGAACACCGGUGGCGAAGGCGGCGACCUGGUCCGAUACUGACGCUGAGGCGCGAAAGCGUGGGGAGCAAACAGG
rnacentral:rRNA from 1 species